UUUUUAAUAGUAUCACAUGAAGCCUUCAGGCGCUGACACAACAUUUCAAGAAUAACUUUUGAAGUGGAUAAAUGCGUUCUUAUCUUUCGGUGCUGCCCACUUUCUUGGUUGCGUCUGCCUUCUGUAUCCUGGCAGAUGGCGUACAUUCCUUAGAUGUAUUAUUGGUAGCUUUAGUGGUGGUUAGACAAUUAUCAUUGUCUCUCCAUCUGCACCUUUUUCUCACAAGUGUUACCAUGUAGGUUUUCCAGUGAGAUAUGAUGUUGCCUAUAUGUUCUGAUUGGAUGUUUAGCAUCAUUCCUGUUGAAGUAAGUAGUCU
rnacentral:lncRNA from 1 species